GUAGUAGAGUAUGAUGACAGCGGAAAGACACGACCACCAUAGAGAGAAUGUCGAUCUCGUUUUUGCGAACGGUAGGAAGACACGCGGAAUGGACGUUUGUCGAUAUCGUUUUCACGAACGACACAAAUCGCGGAAGUCCCCGGAUGCAUUGACGAGAGGUAGAGGAUGAUCGAGGACCGCUCUUGUUGCGAGAAGGAAAGAGGCACGAGAGAGACGGAAUCCCGUGAUCGACCAGGAUACUGGUUACUCGUAUUUCCCUUUUUUUCCUCUCUCCCUAAUCGUUGUGCGUGAUAUUCGUUUCCACGGAAAUCAAGGAUCUUUCCUGACGCCCGUGUAUUAGUAUUCUGGAACCCAUCAGAAGUCACGUGUUUUAUUUCAUUCGACGCUAGAUACACGAACUAUACAAAAAUCAAAGUAAUUGACUUUGUUGAGGUUAACUAAUUGAAAUUGAGAGUAGUAGAAUAGUUGAGAAGCUUUAAAGAAAUGAA
rnacentral:misc_RNA from 1 species